GUGAGGAAUAUUGCGCAAUGGAGGCAACUCUGACGCAGCCAUGCCGCGUGCAGGAAGAAGGCGCUACGCGUUGUAAACUGCUUUUAACCGGGAAGAAACCCCAGGACGUGUCCUGGGUUGACGGUACCGGAGGAAUAAGCACCGGCUAACUUCGUGCCAGCAGCCGCGGUAAUACGAAGGGUGCAAGCGUUAUCCGGAUUUAUUGGGUUUAAAGGGUGCGUAGGCGGAGCGUUAAGUCAGUGGUGAAAUCCUGCAGCUUAACUGUAGACUUGCCAUGGAUACUGGCGCUCUUGAGUGCGCUUGAAGUGGGCGGAAUGUGCCGUGUAGCGGUGAAAUGCUUAGAUAUGGCACAGAACACCAAUUGCGAAGGCAGCUCACUAAGGCGAUACUGACGCUGAGGCACGAAAGCGUGGGGAUCGAACAGGAUUAGAAACCCGUGUAGUCC
rnacentral:rRNA from 1 species